ACGUAGGGGGCAAGCGUUAUCCGGAUUUAUUGGGUGUAAAGGGUGCGUAGGCGGGAAAGCAAGUUGAAUGUGAAAUGCCGGGGCUCAACUCCGGGGUUGCGAUCGAUACUGUAAAUCUAGAGUACAGCAGAGGGAAGCGGAAUUCCCAGUGUAGCGGUGAAAUGCGUAGAUAUCGGGAGGAACACCAGUGGCGAAGGCGGCUUGCUGGCACAAUACUGACGCUCAUGUGCGAAAGCUAGGGCAGCGAACGG
rnacentral:rRNA from 1 species